CAGUAGCCGCGGGAAUACCGAGGGUGCGAGCGUUAAUCGGAUUUACUGGGCGUAAAGCGUGCGUAGGCGGCUUCUUAAGUCGGAUGUGAAAUCCCUGAGCUUAACUUAGGAAUUGCAUUCGAUACUGGGAAGCUAGAGUAUGGGAGAGGAUGGUAGAAUUCCAGGUGUAGCGGUGAAAUGCGUAGAGAUCUGGAGGAAUACCGAUGGCGAAGGCAGCCAUCUGGCCUAAUACUGACGCUGAGGUACGAAAGCAUGGGGAGCAAACAGGAUUAGAGACCCCAGUAGUCCCUGUCUCUUAUAC
rnacentral:rRNA from 1 species